CCUACGGGGGGCAGCAGUGAGGAAUAUUGGUCAAUGGGCUUACGCCUGAACCAGCCAAGUCGCGUGAGGGAAGACUGCCCUAUGGGUUGUAAACCUCUUUUGUCAGGGAGCAAUUGGCGCUACGUGUAGCGUUAUCGAGAGUACCUGAAGAAAAAGCAUCGGCUAACUCCGUGCCAGCAGCCGCGGUAAUACGGAGGAUGCGGGCGUUAUCCGGAUUUAUUGGGUUUAAAGGGCGCGUAGGCGGCCUGCUAAGUCUGGAGUGAAAGGUACCGGCUCAACCGGUACAGGCUCUGGAAACUGGCGGG
rnacentral:rRNA from 1 species